UGGGGAAUUUUGCACAAGGGAGGGAACUCUGAUGCAGCGACGCCGCGUGAGGGAUGAAGGAUUUCGUUUCGUAAAACUCUUUUCUAUGGGAAGAAAAGGACUGUACCAUAGGAGAAAGCUCCGGCUAAAUACGUGCCAGCAGCCGCGGUAAUACGUAUGGAGCGAGCGUUGUCCGGAAUUAUUGGGCGUAAAGGGUGCGCAGGCGGCUUUACAAGUUGGAUGUGAAAUAUUGUGGCUCAACCACAAACGUGCAUCCAAAACUGCAAAGCUUGAGUUAAGGAGAGGUAAGUGGAAUUCCUGGUGUAGCGGUGGAAUGCGUAGAUAUCAGGAGGAAUACCGGUGGCGAAGGCGACUUACUGGACUUAAACUGACGCUCAGGCACGAAAGCGUGGGGAGCAAACAGG
rnacentral:rRNA from 1 species